CAGCAGCCACGGGAAUACGUAGGUGGCAAGCGUUGUCCGGAAUUAUUGGGCGUAAAGCGUCUGUAGGUGGCUUUUCAAGUCCGCCGUCAAGUCCCAGGGCUCAACCCUGGACAGGCGGUGGAAACUACCAAGCUGGAGUACGGUAGGGGCAGAGGGAAUUUCCGGUGGAGCGGUGAAAUGCGUUGAUAUUGGGAGGAACACCAGUGGCGAAGGCGGCUUUCUGGACUGUAACUGACGCUGAGGCUCGAAAGCCAGGGGAGCGAACGGGAUUAGAUACCCCAGUAGUCCCUGUCUCUUAUAC
rnacentral:rRNA from 1 species